rnacentral:rRNA from 1 species
CCUACGGGGCGCAGCAGUGAGGAAUAUUGGUCAAUGGGCGAGAGCCUGAACCAGCCAAGUCGCGUGAAGGAUGACGGCCCUACGGGUUGUAAACUUCUUUUGUCAGGGAGCAAUUGGGUCCACGCGUGGGCUUAGCGAGAGUACCUGAAGAAAAAGCAUCGGCUAACUCCGUGCCAGCAGCCGCGGUAAUACGGAGGAUGCGAGCGUUAUCCGGAUUUAUUGGGUUUAAAGGGUGCGUAGGCGGAAUAUCAAGUCAGCGGGAAAAAUUCGGGGCUCAACCCCGUCGUGCCGUUGAAACUGAUGUUCUUGUGUGGGCGAGAAGUAUGCGGAAUGCGUGGUGUAGCGGUGAAAUGCAUAGAUAUCACGCAGAACUCCGAUUGCGAAGGCAGCAUACCGGCGCCCAACUGACGCUGAAGCACGAAAGCGUGGGUAUCGAACAGGAUUAGAUACCCAAGUAGUC